CCUACGGGAGGCAGCAGUAGGGAAUAUUGCACAAUGGAGGAAACUCUGAUGCAGCGACGCCGCGUGAGUGAUGACGGCUUUAGGGUUGUAAAGCUCUGUUCUCGGGAAAACGGUACCCGAGGAGAAAGGACCGGCUAACUUCGUGCCAGCAGCCGCGGUAAGACGAGGGGUCCAAGCGUUGUUCGGAAUUAUUGGGCGUAAAGCGGGUGUAGGUGGCUUUGUAAGUCAGGAGUGAAAGCCCUAGGCUCAACCUAGGAAGUGCUUUUGAUACUGCAAAGCUUGAGUGUGGGAGAGGAUGCUGGAAUUCCAGGUGUAGUGGUGAAAUACGUAGAUAUCUGGAGGAACACCGGUGGCGAAGGCGGGCAUCUGGCCCAAACUGACACUCAGACCCGAAAGCAUGGGGAUCAAACAGGAUUAGAUACCCUAGUAGUC
rnacentral:rRNA from 1 species